GAGAGUCUCUCAUCGAGAAAUCUUGUUGUAUAUAUAGACAAAAGCAAGAGACACACGCUCGAGAAUGGCUGCAUUGGUGAGAGAAUCAGUCUUGAAGAACGAUGCCGAUGGCCCCAUCAAGGUGAAAGGCGGACUAGGAACUAACAGCUACUUCAAAAACUCCGUUUAUCAGAGAUUGGCUACGAAUGUUGUGAAGGACAUAAUUGAUGACGAAAUUACCAAGAAGCUAGACGUAAAAUCCUUCUUAUCAACUUCAAAUAAUACAAUUGUUCUUGCAGAUUUAGGAUGUGCUGUUGGUCCAAACACCUUUACUUCUAUGCAAGGAAUUAUAGACGUAAUAAAAAGGAAGUACCAAUCUCAAUGCCCUACUUCUGCAAUGCCUGAAUUUCAAGUUUUCUUUAAUGAUCAACCCUCAAACGAUUUCAAUACCCUCUUCAC
rnacentral:misc_RNA from 1 species